rnacentral:rRNA from 1 species
UACGUAGGGUGCGAGCGUUAAUCGGAAUUACUGGGCGUAAAGCGUGCGCAGGCGGUUUUGUAAGCCAGAUGGGAAAGCCCCGGGCUCAACCUGGGAACAGCGCUUGAGACUGGCACGCUCGAGUUCGGGAGAGGAUGGUGGAAUUCCCAGUGUAGAGGUGAAAUUCGUAGAUAUUGGGAAGAACACCGAUGGCGAAGGCAGCCAUCUGGACCGACACUGACGCUGAGGCGCGAAAGCGUGGGGAGCAAACAGG